CCAAGGGGAGAAGGAUCAUGUAAGGCCCAUUUUGAGCCAAAAAUUUGGAGCAUCAUUCCACAGCCCGGUACUUCCUGGUCUUCAGAAUGCGGCUGGAUACCCUUGCAUCGAAACCCUAGUUCGUGUUUUAAACCCCUGCCGGACGCCGCAGCCUCCCAUUCCUCUCCCUCUUGUUCUUCUUGUGGCUCUUUUUCUCCAUCAAAAAUCUCUAUUCUUCUUUCGUGGAUCUAUUUCUUUUUCCUCUUCUUCUUUCGUGUAUCUAUUUCUAUUUCCACUUCUUCUUCUCCUUCUAAUCUUUUGAGCUCUCGAUGACGAGAAUCGAAGCAGACGGGCGGUCAGAAACUGAUGCCAUGUUGAAUGUCUGCAAUCUCUGUCUUCCUUGUUGUUUCAAGGAAAGCAUCUGAGAGAUCGAUGUUCAAGUGAUUGAUGUGAUUGGCCCUUCAACUGGAGUAGGUUCUCGAGGAAUGGUGAAGUUGAAGCAUUAAGGUUGUUCAUGCGGAGGCUGUAUAUAGAUCGUGGUGAGCUAGUAUUACCGAGUUCAAUGGGAGCAGCAAGGGUACAAACCGAAGCUUGGAAUGGGAGCGAGGAUGUACGGGAUACCACCGUGCCCUGGAAUAUCAGCUAUAACAUCGAUCACAAAGAUCGAAAGGUACUUGACACUUGAGUCUCUCAAGGAAAAGAUCAGUGGAGACCGCAGAGUUAAUCCGAUCGAGAGAGCCCAAUCUUCUAAAAAUUUGGCCUGCGGCGAGUCCAUAAUGUCCGCAGUGAUGUCAAAUGAUUCAUCUUCCAAGUUUUUCCUAAUACCCAAUAGUACAAACUUGGAAUAUGUGGCCCCUUCUGUCUUUAUGGGCCCCUUUGUGAACCACAACUUUUAUUCUUUGGGAGGCGGUAACUUCAGUCUUUGAGACCAACCGAACAAAAGAAACUGUCAAUAGGUUAGGGAUCGAUCAAAAAAUGAUUGCAACCAUCCAUUCAAACAAUUCAACUUAGUUUGGUCCAAAGAAUACUUUUACCUUUGGCAAGAACCACAAUUUUCUUACAAAUGCUAGAGAUUUACUGCCAAUCUCUUGUGAAUUAGAGAGAGCAUAAUGUAUCGAGUCAAGAGGACAGUCAAUAUCAAUGCAGUCUAAGAUGGAGAUGGUAUUUUCAUGCCGAAUAUUGGUAAUUUGAGCAUCCCAGCAACCCAUAAACUCUUUGGUUGUAGUAGGCCAAAGGUCAAGAGAGACAAAAUGAUAGUCCAAGUAAAACUGCUUAGAAAAGAAUUCUGCUAAUGCAAUUUAAUGCGAUUCAGAGAUAAGAAGUCGAUCAGAAAGCGAAGCAUUCAGAGAGAACUCUCUAAUCAUAGCAAGCCAAAAGUCAAGAGGGACAAAAUGAUAGUCUAAGCAUAACUACUCACAAAAGAAAUCCGCUAAUGCAAUCUAAGAAGCUGAUCAGAAAGGGAAGCAUUCAGAGAGUAGAGGGACUGGACCAAAUUGACGAGCAAAAAAGUUAGGAUAGUAGUGUACAGCAGAACACUUAUUAUAUUGACUGAUCUAUAUAUAAUGAAGUUGACACGAAGAUCUCUGGAGACCAAAAAUCCCUCUAGGGAAGUCCUACAGCUUUUUUCUUUGCUGGGGACAUAUCAUCCUCUGGGAUUACUAGUUAGGUAGGUUUGGAAGACCGGAGGAAAGGAAACUGAAGUAUAUAUCUUUAUGAGAGGGGUCCUCGUAAAAGAACCUAAAAUACUCUAAAAAGAAAAGGAACGAGCCCUCUUAGUGAGCAUAUUGGUUACAUUGGUCAUAAACACGUCAGAUCUCUAGAAAAUAGGUGUAUAGUCAGAUUUGGAGCAAUAGGACCUUUAUAUCCCCAAUGCCCAGUACAACAAGAGCCAAACAAAAAUUACAAAACAAAAAGCUUAAACUACUUGAUGUUGCUCUGGGACUCGCUAGUUUGGACACAUGAUCCAUCUUGUAUCAAAGUUGUAACAAAAGGUCUCAAAUGAAUGAGACAAAAGACCAAAAAUUAAAAUUUAUGAUGUAAUGGACAGACAGAAAAUCGUGUUAUCUCAGGCAUUAUGAGAGACCUAUUUGACAUCCAAAUGACUUGAGCUAUGUGAUAACCAACCGAUCCAUAGACUUUGUCUAUUAAGUCAAG